rnacentral:rRNA from 1 species
UACGUAGGGUGCAAGCGUUGCCCGGAUUUAUUGGGCGUAAAGGGCGCGUAGGCGGCUUUGCAAGUCCGUUGUGAAAACUCGAGGCUCAACCUCGAGACGCCGGUGGAAACUGCAAAGCUAGAGUCCGGAAGAGGAGAGUGGAAUUCCUGGUGUAGCGGUGAAAUGCGCAGAUAUCAGGAAGAACACCCGUGGCGAAGGCGGCUCUCUGGGACGGUACUGACGCUGAGACGCGAAAGCGUGGGGAGCGAACAGG